rnacentral:rRNA from 1 species
AUUGAACGCUGGCGGCAUGCUUUACACAUGCAAGUCGAACGGUAACAGCACUUCGGUGGCUGACGAGUGGCGAACGGGCGAGUAAUACAUCGGAACGUGCCUAGUAGUGGGGGAUAACUACUCGAAAGAGUAGCUAAUACCGCAUGAGAUCUAAGGAUGAAAGCAGGGGACCUUCGGGCCUUGCGCUACUAGAGCGGCUGAUGGCAGAUUAGGUAGUUGGUGGGAUAAAAGCUUACCAAGCCGACGAUCUGUAGCUGGUCUGAGAGGACGACCAGCCACACUGGGACUGAGACACGGCCCAGACUCCUACGGGAGGCAGCAGUGGGGAAUUUUGGACAAUGGGCGCAAGCCUGAUCCAGCAAUGCCGCGUGCAGGAUGAAGGCCUUCGGGUUGUAAACUGCUUUUGUACGGAACGAAAAGCCCUCUUCUAAUACAGGAGGGUCAUGACGGUACCGUAAGAAUAAGCACCGGCUAACUACGUG